UGAGUCUUGUGUGGGGUCAGGUCCACAAAGUAUAGAAUUUUUUCCCGGGCUGAUCAUAUCCAGUAUUUAACUCAUUUUGAGUCCUCCUCCUACACACUGAUCGGGACAUACAUAUCACCACGAGCUCCAUAGUGAGGACUAUCUUGUUCGGACAUAGAGGGCGUGGGCAUUCCAUCCUGAGCCGGUCUCGGAUUUCUUUUCCCAUAGGCCUCCUAAGCCAGAAGUGGGCCCGAUGCUCCAGUUAACCCCAUUCGGAUGACCCUGGUUGUCGGAUGGUGCGUGAGUCAAAACAGGAGUGUCCAGUGUGCCAAAGAAAAAACCUUUCUUGCUAGGCGUGUCUUGUCACUUUUACCUCUUCUGCCCUCCAUUCUUUCAUGAUCUCCAGAG
rnacentral:lncRNA from 1 species